rnacentral:sRNA from 1 species
UUUCGCAUUUAUCAAUUUCCAUCGGCGAGAAGAUGCAUCCAGAGCUAUUCAAGGUGUUUCUGGUUUUGGCUAUGAUCAUCUUAUCCUCAACGUAGAAUGGGCUAAGCCUUCUACUCAGCAAUAGUGACUCCUUGACGUACUGUUUGUUGAUUCUGUAUUUAUAUAAUUUGAAGUGAAGGGUGGGAUAGGGUGGAACAUUCAUUUUACUUCUACAUUUGUUGUAAAAAAAAAAUGGUCAAAUACCUACAUUUUUUAGAGGCUAUGUUAGUUUGGACUAACUAACUUUAUAUAUAUAAUAUUUAAAAAAACACCACUAUUUAUUUAAAAUCAGUAAUAGUUGUAAAUUAUAUAAUUUUUUAUUAUGUAUAAACUACAAAAAAAAACUUUUUUGUUUUACUUGAUAAUUCUCUUAUAAAUAUUCUUAUAGAAUUAGGUAAAAAAAAACAAUAAUAAAUCUUUUUCCUUUCUUUUAAUGAUGGGGUAUUUUUUGGUUUUUAAUUAUCAAUUAAUAAAAGUUCAUCAUAAAGUUUGUGGCUUGCUCAUUGAUGCAAUGUAUUAAAACUUUGGUGAAACCUG